rnacentral:rRNA from 1 species
AACGAACGCUGGCGGCAUGCCUAACACAUGCAAGUCGAACGAGACCUUCGGGUCUAGUGGCGCACGGGUGCGUAACGCGUGGGAAUCUGCCCUUGGGUUCGGAAUAACAGUUGGAAACGACUGCUAAUACCGGAUGAUGACGUAAGUCCAAAGAUUUAUCGCCCAGGGAUGAGCCCGCGUAGGAUUAGCUAGUUGGUGGGGUAAAGGCCUACCAAGGCGACGAUCCUUAGCUGGUCUGAGAGGAUGAUCAGCCACACUGGGACUGAGACACGGCCCAGACUCCUACGGGAAGCAGCAGUGGGGAAUAUUGGACAAUGGGCGAAAGCCUGAUCCAGCAAUGCCGCGUGAGUGAUGAAGGCCUUAGGGUUGUAAAACUCUUUUACCCGGGAUGAUAAUGACAGUACCGGGAGAAUAAGCCCCGGCUAACUCCGUG